AUGCCCACGUGCCCAGGAUGCCUCCUCCCGCCACUGGCCCAGCUGUCGGCCCUGACUACGCUACUGCUGCUGCUGGGCCAUGGCAGUGGCAGACGUUGGAGAGCCUGGGCUCAGGGGGUGGCGGCGGCAGACGGGCCCCCCGCGGCAGACAGAGGGACAGGCAUGACCCUCACAGCAAGCACCUGUGCACAGCCAACAUGUUCACGCACGGACACAGCCAGCAGCUGCAGCUGACUUGGAAUGACCUGGGAGACAAAUACAACAGCAUGGAAGAUGCCAAAGUCUACAUGGCUAAAGUGGACUGCACGGCCAACUCUGACGUGUGCUCCACCCAGCGGGUGCGAGGAUACCCUACGUAAAGUUUUUCAAGCCAGGCCAAGAAGCUGUGAAGUACCAGGGUCCUCAGGACUUCCAGACAUUGGAAAACUGGAUGCUACAGACGCUGUAUGAGAAGCAAGUGACACCAGAGCCAGAAGUGGAACCACCCAGAGCCCCUGAGCUGGGGCUGUAUGAGCUCUCAGUGAGCAACUUUGAGCUGCACAUUGCACAAGGCAACCACUUUUAUCAAGUUCUUGGCUCCAUGGUGUGGUCACUGCAAAGCUCUGGCUCCAACCUGGGAGCAGCUUGCUCUGGGCCUUGAACAUUCUGAAACUGUCAAGAUUGGCAAGGUUGAUUGUACACAGCACUAUGAACUCUGCUCCAGAAACCAGGUUCAUGGCUAUCCCACUCUUCUCUGGUUCCGAGAUGGGAAAAAGGUUGCUCAGCAUAAGGGAAAGCGCGAUUUGGAGUCACUGAGGGAUUACGUGGAGUCACAGCUGCAGUGCACAGAGACUGGAGCCGCAGAGACCAUCACACCCUCAGAGGCCCUGGUGCUGGCAGCCGAGCCUGAAGAUGACAAGGGCACUGUGUUGGCACUCACUGAGAAGAAUUUCGAUGACACCAUUGCAGAAGGAAUAACCUUCAUCAAGUUUUAUGCUCCAUGGUGUGGUCAUUGUAAGAAUCUGGCUCCCACUUGGAAGGAACUCUCCAAAAAGGAAUUCCCUGGUCUGGCAGGGGUCAAGAUAGCCGAAGUAGACUGCACCACUGAACAGAAUAUUUACAGCAAGUAUUUGGUUCGAGGCUACCCUACAUUGUUGCUUUUCUGAGGAGGGAAGAAAGUCAGCGAGCACAGUGGAGGCAGAGAUCUUGACUUGUUACACCACUUUGUCCUCGGCCAAGCAAAAGACAAACUCUAGAAACACAGAAGUCACCUCUCUUGCUGGGCUCCUGCACCCUGAAUCUAGGAGUUCAAUCCCACAGAGGCCACUGGGAUCCUGGUGGUGGCUGUUCAGAAAGCAGAACAUACUGAGCAUGUGGUAUCUUCUCUGUUUCUCAAGCCAACACACUCUACAGAUUCUUAGUUUCUCUAAGUAAAUGUGUAACUCACAGUCACUGUGUAAACUAAAUAUUUUCAGUGGCGAUAUAUCCCCUUUGACCCUCUCUUGAUGAAAUUUAAAUGGUUUCCUUUGAGAUUAAAAUAGAGUUGAGGGAAAUCAAAUUGCUACACUAUUUUUGGCUCCUGGGUGAUUUUGGUGAAAGCAAGCACAUCCAAAGCAUAGUUUGUUAACUGCCCACGAGUUCUGGAAAGGUGGCCUUGUGGCAGUAUCGACGUUCCUCUGAUCUUAAGGUCACAGUUGACUUAAUACUGCUGUUGGUCCGUAGCAUGGAGCAGAUUUAAAUGCAAAAACCCACACCUCUGGAAGAUAUCUUCACGGCUACUGCUGGAGCUUCUGUUCUGUGAAUACCUUCUCAAUGGGAGAGGUUAGCCGUAAUGAAAGCAGCGGUACUUCUGACUGUGCCUGAGUAAGAGAAUGUUAAUGCUAUAACUUCGUUACUUGUCACAUCAGUUACCGUUCAGGAAGGUUUCUCACGAGGCAAAACAUUUCUUUAGUUCAUCACAUUAACAUGAAGACAGAGUCCACGUGAACUUUAAGACUGGAUGUCUCCCAUAGAAAGGGUAGGCAUGGAAAAUUCCACGAGGCUCGUUCUGAGUAUUUCAUUAACUCAUAGGAAGAUUCCGGUUGUAUUUGUCUCCUGGGGUGACAAGAUCAGAUAGGCAUUCCCAGGCCUGGAUAUCCAGUGAGGCUCUGCAGCUCCGCUGAAGGGCCCUAACUAGACAGUUUCUGAUUCUGUCCCUCAGUAGUCCUUUUAGAGGCUUGCUCUACUUGGUCCACUUCAAGAAGGUCGACUUUCUAAUGUAUGAAGAAUGGGAUGUAUUUGAUCUCAAGACCAAAGACAGAUGUCAGCAGGAUUGCUCUGGCCCUGAUGUGCACAGCUGUGGCAGCUGUUGAUGCCAGCAUCCUCUAACUCAUGCUAUCCUUGUGAGUAAACACUUUUCCUAUCUCCUUCCGGAAUAAGCACUUGUAGGACUAAGCUCUAAGACAGGUGUUUGUCCUUUCACUAUUGAGCUACUUCCCAUAGUAACCACUUUGCGUCCAACACCCUUCACCCACCUCCUAUGCACAGGGGGAUGUGGACACUUGGUCCAAAGUAACUGGUGGUAGGAAUCUUAGAAACAAGACCACUUAAAAAAAAAAAACCUUCUAGAGAAGCACAACUGUCGA